rnacentral:lncRNA from 1 species
UUAAGAUGAACGUCUACUCCACUGUAGGCUACGGAAAUUUUGAAGAGAACGAUCUUGAACUCUGAAGCUUUCCGAACACGUUGGGUGCUGAUCAGGCGCGGAAAAUGCAGUCGUAUCAAAAGCAGGACAAAUCGUUGUUGGAUUUACGCGAGUAAAUGAAAAUACGUUCAAGAUCAACAGCUGAAAUUAGCUUGUCCCAUCUAAACGUAUCAAGUUUGGCAUGAACUAUUACUAUCCGCUGGGCAUCUUUUAAGUCAAAAAAAGGCCGUCAGUUGACUGUAGGAGUUCCACAUGUCUAGAAGAAGCCUACAAAGGUGCUUUCGAUGUAGAACAGAGGUGCCUGCUAAAUUUGACCGCUACCUACGAUCAGCCUACGAGUUACAUUUUUCUCUAUUAUCAAUGAUGUCGUCGCUCUGGUAGUUGGACAGCCGGUCAGCGAGCUGUUCUAUGGCUGACGUAGCCUGCCUAGCACAGUCCAUGGUGGCAAAGGAAUAGAAGCUAUUCAUUCGUCAGAGGAGGAAGCAUGAAGCACAAGAAAGCACAUUCUUGGGACACAAGAAUAAGCGCGCAUGAAGGAUCAGAGAGGGUGUCUCCGAUUUGGUAAAUAUUUUAUCAGUUUUCACCUCCUUCCUGACCACAGCCGCAAAUGCCCUAUGUUCGAACAAGGGGCAUGUUGGGAAGGAGGCACGGUGCCCCAUCUACCUACGGAAGCGCUGGCUUUGCUGGGAGUCUCCCUGCUGAGGUGCACUACGAGAUAGCCGGAUUAGGCAAAGGCAGACUCAUCUUUACCAGUGGCUGUCUCGGCUCGCUUAUAAAAGUUCUAUAGUGUACUAGACGGCUAUUACGUUUCAGCAUACCUAACCUAAUGUUUGACCUUUUUCACCUUGACGUCUUACCUGCGUGUCGUGCUUGUGCGAAUGCAAUAUGUACACACAUGAUUUAACGCAGCGCGUCUCCUCGUUGCCUUAGCGGAAAAAGAAAUAAAAAUAGCAUGCAAAAUAUUCCUGUUUUAGAUAUCCUAGACUGUGCUAUCGACGCAUCGAUAUAGACGCACAGAUUGAACACUGAUCCGGCUCGCUAAUACCUGUUUCCUAUCGAGCCGCGCUGUAAUAUACGCGCCCUUUAAAACUCAAACUUACCAUAUAAACAAGCAAAAUCUGAAUGCGAGCAUUAGCUCACACAGCGCGAUUUUUACACAAAAAAAUUCGAAUUAUUCUCAGUUCAUCUCGAUACCUUAGCUUAAAGGCAUAUUCUAUGAGAAACCAUCUUGUAAGCCAUGGUCACCUCCUAUCAUUACUAUAAUCACUUCCUGGCAGCUUGUCCAUGCCAUGCGCGGGUGUAACUCCAACGAACAGCAGGCACCGCUAUUCCCGCCAUUGUGGAAACACUACCAGUAUACUGUGC